AAUAUUUUACAAUGGGGGCAACCCUGAUCCAGCCAUGCCGCGUGUGUGAAGAAGGUCUUCGGAUUGUAUAGCACUCUAAGUUGGGAGGAAGGGCUUUAGGUUAAUACCCUGAAGUUUUGACGUUACCAACAGAAUAAGCACCGCCCAACUCUGUGCCAGAAGCCGCGGUAAUACAGAGGGUGCAAGCGUUAAUCGGAAUUACUGGGCGUCAAGCGAGAGUAGGUGGUUCAGUAAGAGGGGAGUGGAAUCCCCGGGCUUAAGCUAGGAGCUGCGUUCAUAACUGCUGAGCUGUAGUAAGGUAGAGAGUAGUGGAAUUUCCUGUGUAGCGGUGAGAUGCGUAGAUAUAGGAAGGAACAGCAGUGGCGAAGGCGACUACCUGGACUGAUACUGACACUGAGGUGCGAAAGCGUGGGGGGCAAAC
rnacentral:rRNA from 1 species